rnacentral:rRNA from 1 species
UACAGAGGCCCCAAGCGUUACUGAGAAUCACUGGGUUUAAAGGGUGCGUAGGUGGCGCGUUAAGUCCGUUGUGAAAGCCCUGGGCUCAGCCCAGGAACUGCUUCGGAUACUGGCGCGCUUGAGGCUAGUAGGGGUCACUGGAACUGACGGUGGAGCGGUGAAAUGCGUAGAUAUCGUCAGGAACGCCAAUGGUGAAGACAGGUGACUGGGCUAGUUCUGACACUGAGGCACGAAAGCGUGGGGAGCGAACGGG